rnacentral:rRNA from 1 species
UACGUAGGGUGCAAGCGUUAAUCGGAAUUACUGGGCGUAAAGCGUGCGCAGGCGGUUUGCUAAGACCGAUGUGAAAUCCCCGGGCUUAACCUGGGAACUGCAUUGGUGACUGGCAAGCUAGAAUGUGGCAGAGGGGGGUAGAAUUCCACGUGUAGCAGUGAAAUGCGUAGAGAUGUGGAGGAAUACCGAUGGCGAAGGCAGCCCCCUGGGCCAACACUGACGCUCAUGCACGAAAGCGUGGGGAGCAAACAGG